CCAGACUCCUACGGGAGGCAGCAGUGGGGAAUAUUGGGCAAUGGAGGAAACUCUUACCCAGCAAUGCCGCGUGAAUGAAGAAGGUCUUCGGAUUGUAAAGUUCUUUAAUUGGGGACGAAAAAAAUGACGGUACCCAAGGAAUAAGCCCCGACUAACUACGUGCCAGCAGCCGCGGUAAUACGUAGGGAGCGAGCGUUGUCCGGAAUUACUGGGUGUAAAGGGAGCGUAGGCGGGACGGCAAGUCAGAUGUGAAAACUGAGGGCUCAACUUUCAGACUGCAUUUGAAACUGCUGUUCUUGAGUGAAGUAGAGGUAAGCGGAAUUCCUAGUGUAGCGGUGAAAUGCGUAGAUAUUAGGAGGAACAUCGGUGGCGAAGGCGGCUUACUGGGCUUUUACUGACGCUGAGGCUCGAAAGCGUGGGGAGCAAACAGGAUUAGAUACCCUUGUAAA
rnacentral:rRNA from 1 species